UAUUAACUAGAGCCAACUAUUAUUGUGUUAAGCUUGAGCCAAAUAUUACUCUAUGAUUUGAUUCGUGUGCACACUUAGUUCUUAAUUGGAGCUGAGAUGAAUUCACUCUUAGUUAGGAGGAUUGACUGAAAUCUGAGCCUAUGCUUAAAUUCCUUGUAGGAAAUGAACACAGACGCGUAAACGAGCUGAUUCUCCACUUGAAGUCCACUAACCAUCAGAAAUAAAAGAAAAGGGGCUUCAUCUGUGUUUGGAGCUUUUCAACGGCCUUGCAGAAUCAGGAACAUAAGUCGAUAAGAAGGCGCGGAUUAAGCGAAAAUUGCCGUGGGGACAACGAAGCCGAGUCGACCGAGAAUGCUUGACUUUAACACGACACACCGGGUCGAGCCGAUUGUCAACCGCCAAGCCCGAAUCCCCAGCCACCUCGGCAGCCGAGCCUGUCGCGCCGUCGUCUCUCUUUCACAGUUACACCAUCAAUACUUACAGAUGCAUGUUACCAAACGAAAAAUACCAAAGAGCAGGACCACCAUUCCACGACGAUCAAAGACGUGGGUUACGGUGGCCCAUGUUGAGGCCAAAGUCUACGUGGCAAUUCAAUUAGUCACAUGGGUGACUGCCGCGUGUCAUUUGUGGCGGUAAUGACGGUUCGGUCAGUGUUUUUGUGUUUCGCGUAACAUUAACAAGGAGAGGCUCUUCCAUGUAUCCUUGUCUCCUCAAAUCCUCAAAGCCUUUCGCUUGUCGACCGCUGUCUUUGACCCCACUCACCUAACGUGCCAUGUACAUUUCACAUUCAUUAUUUGCUCUAUAUCAUCUAUUCCAUUUUGCGUGACAAUUUUAACGAUGAAACAUAUCUAGCGUCA